rnacentral:pre_miRNA from 1 species
UAGACAGAUUAUUAUUUUUGACUGUAUUCACAAAUACAACGUAAAUAGCGCAAUUCAUGGUCUAUUCAGGUAUUUUUAAACGGAAAGUGAAUCAAUUAACAUAAUAGACUCCU